CACAUUUCUCUGAUUCUCUCCCUGGUCGUUCAUUCCUGAAUAAAACGGAAGAAAGAAGACGAAAUCAAUGUCCCAACCGUUUCAAAUUGAAGCUCACUAAAUACGAAACGUAAUGGAUUCUCAUAAACCUAGGUGUAUCGAGAAAUCAGUCCAACCGAUCGAUUUAUUCCAGAUACUUAAGAAGGGAAGUUAGGGUUUGCAAUUUUGGUCCCGUUCCAGUGUUGCUUCACCUGUGCAAGGUAGUGGAAGCAUUACAGAUGGGAAUUUAAAUACAAAGAUGAUUGAGUGACCAAGUUGAGGUUAUCUUCCUAACAUCCUUCAGAUACAGGCAUUUGAAGGAAUGAGAUUCUAGCUGACAUGGUUUUUGAGCAUCCUAUAACAUUUAGGUCUUUUAUCUUACAUGUUUAUUAACUUACUUUAACAUUUAGGUCUUCCAUUUUUUUACCACCAAGGAAAUUUAGGUACUGAUGGUAGCGUGGCGAAUUGUUAAACCUGCACUAAACUUUUUUCUUUAAAGUUGGUUUUGUUCUAACUUUGCAUUUGUUAGUUAGGCUAAGUUCAUGUCUACUCACUCUUGAGUUACUGAUAUUUCUGUUUUUACCAAUGGACAAUGGCGUUUUUACAUAUAACACUAUCAAAUUAUGAGUAGUUCCAGAUGAAAAAAAUGCAUCAUGUGUUUCCUUUGAAGCAGACAUUUGGUUUGUCUCCGUGUUUUAUAACACCAACUUUCUUCUUAGGAUGACUUCAGAUUUGUGAACUUAGAAAUUGUGACUGAAGCAGAAAAGCUAAUGGGUUUAAAGGAUUGAUUUUUUACCCCCAUCUUACAGAGUUUCCAUCUGUAAGAAUUUUGCAAGUGAAAACAUUUUGCUAAAUAUGUAGGUUGAUUGCAGCUAAUUAGUGUAUUGUUACAGAAACUCUCAUUCAAUUGGGAAGAGAAGCAAGAUAUAUCGAUCAGGGUCAGCUGACUUUGAUACCACUAAACAAGUUUUUAAUUUGUUUAGAGAGAGGAAUAUUCAGAUUCGAAAUACCAUGAUUGGUGGAGUAUGCAAAUUGAUACCACUGGACAAGUUUUUAAUUUGUUUAGAGCGAGGAAUAUUCAGAUUCGGAAUACCAUGAUUGGUAGACUAUGUAAAAGAUGACCUUUAUGGUGAAGCUCCUGAGAUGUGAUUGAUUGUUAAUAUAUCCCAAUGGCCAUUAUUUUAAAGCCUAAGAGAUCGUAUGUACAAGGCUUCAUUUUCCUUUUAUUUUUGUUGGACAGGUAUUGACUCACUUACGUUCAUGGUUUAUCGCCUUCCAUCGUUAAGGUGGUGGAUUAUAGUGACUGUUUUUGCAGGCCCGUCUUGGAUGAACUGAUAAGUGCAAUUGACUGAGUAGUGGUCCGUAGAUGUGGAAAAAUGACACAAACUUGGGUGUAUUAAAAUAAUAAUGAUCCAAUGAAGAACGUUACUUAAUGAUUCUGUUCAUGUUUGAGUUAUUACUCUCGGUUAGAUUGUAAUUUAAUUGGUCGCCCCAAAACAUUAUUGGACUCAUCAGAUAAUUUUUCCAUACUAAAGUAGAUUGU